GGCCAGUUAGCUCAGCUGGUUAGAGUGCAGUGUUGAUAACACUGCUGUCAAGGGUUCAGAUCCCCAUACUGGCCA